GAUGAACGCUAGCGAUAGGCUUAACACAUGCAAGUCGAGGGGCAUCAGGAUGUAGCAAUACAAUCGCUGGCGACCGACAAACGGGUGCGUAACACGUACGCAACCUUCCCGUUACUGUGGCAUAGCCCAGGGAAACUUGGAUUAAUACCACAUAUUAUAUUGAUGAGGCAUCUCAUUGAUAUCAAAGCUUCGGCGGUAACGGAUGGGCGUGCGGUUGAUUAGGUAGUUGGCGGGGUAACGGCCCACCAAGCCUACGAUCAAUAGCUGAUGUGAGAGCAUGAUCAGCCACACGGGCACUGAGACACGGGCCCGACUCCUACGGGAGGCAGCAGUAAGGAAUAUUGGGCAAUGGACGAAAGUCUGACCCAGCCAUGCCGCGUGAAGGAUUAAGGUCCUCUGGAUUGUAAACUUCUUUUCUCUGGGGCGAAAACCAGCUAUUCUUAGCUAUUUGACAGUACCAGAGGAAUAAGCACCGGCUAACUCCGUGCCAGCAGCCGCAGUAA
rnacentral:rRNA from 1 species